GUCAAAUAAACAGUUUAAUUGUUUUGAUUACAAAAUGCGUAAUUUUAAUUGAAAAAACGGUGCUCGGAAACUAAAUGUAUUGUUCAAUAUUAGAAUAAUCAAUGAAUAUAUUAAUUUCUGCUAAUUUCAUUUAUUUAUAAUAGUAGAAUAAGUGAAAAUGUUACCUGCAUUUUUACUGAUGAAUCGGAUGGCGAGUCGACGUAAAUAUGUCCGUAAGACAAUCAAAUCCGUGAAACCUGACAAGAAAGUGCUCGAUGCAGACUACUGCAGGACUUGUAUGAGUACAGAGAAUCUCGUAGCUAUAUUUCAUAAUAAGGAAUGUGAGAAUAAACGUACUGAGGAUUUGCGACUUGUCACCGGCUUGGAGAUAAAAGUUAACGAUGGUCUACCUCAAAAGAUCUGUAACAAAUGCAUGGAAGUCAUGCACCUGGCCCUGCAGUUCAGACGCACAAGCAAGAAGUCAGAGAAGACUCUUCUUAACUUGUACUGUGUUAAAUCCAAAAAGAAGUUUACUGCUAAAGCCAGUAAAACUUAUAAAAAAUGUCCGAAAGAAGAAACUGAGCAAGCAGAGAUAGACUUCAGCUAUGAGGACGUAUUUGAGAAUGAUUAUCAGAACGAGCUUGAUUUUUCAUACAAUGGUGAUGACAUCACACCAAAGAAAGAACAGGAGAUAAACAAUUCAACGGAGAAGAGGAAACGAGAGAUUAUACCGAAUGCAACGUCUUACAAAUGUAAUAUUUGUAGCAAAGAUUUUAGAAUGAAGGCCACUUAUAAAGCACACAUGAGAUUUCAUACUAACUACUGCGUUUGUGAGUCGUGCGGUAAGCGUUGUCGCAACAACAACCAGCUCCAGGAGCACAAGCGGGCGCGACACGGGCUCGGCCGUAUUCAUAAGUGUGCUUAUUGUGAAUACAGUUCAGCUACGAAGGAGGCGUUGACCAUCCACGAACGUAGACAUACGGGCGAGAGACCGUACGUGUGUGACCACUGCGGGGCCACCUUCCAUCGCAGGUCGAACCUCGUCCAGCAUAUCGCCAUACAUCUCCCCGAGAAGAACUUCCAGUGUGACAUGUGUCCGAAGCGAUUAAAAUCACGCAAAUUCCUCCAAAUACACAAACACAACGCGCACACCGGGAAGCGUUACGGCUACCUGUGUUCGGUCUGCGACCACAGAUUCGAGAAACCGAAUAAAGUCCGCGCACACACGAGGCGAGUGCACGGGCUACCGGACGACCAGCAGGGACCGAUUGUCAGGGUGCAGCUUUAGAGUUGAAAAAAUGAUGGAUUCAUUUGAAUAUAUGUAAAAAGAAACGGUUCUUUAAAAAUAUUAAAUUUCAAAUUCAGGAAUAUAUAUAUUUAAAAAAAAAACAUUGAUUUACGAUAUUAAUUUUACAUAAAAUCGUGUUAAUAGAAAUUAUAUUUUUUAUACAAACAUGAAUGUUGAUUUACCUGUUCAUGAAUUGACUUCGACGCCGUUCACCGUUUUUUUCAUGGAGAAAGUUUUUACACUAUUCUCUCGACGAUAGAUGGCGCUGCAGCGCGGCAACUUAUAUACCGUACAAUCGUCAUUAUUGGUACACAGGCAGUCUGUCUGGUUUUGCUAGAAUAAUAUAUUAUAUCUAGUAUAACAUAUGGUUGGCCAUAAUUUUUAAAUAAACCAUUUCAAUCAAUUAAAGCAAUUAUUAAAUAUAUAAUCUAUAUAUAACAUACUGUAAUAUUAUAAAUGCUAGGAUGUUGUUAUAAGUAUAUAGAUUUACACAAGUGAAAGAAUUAAAUAUACAUAACAAAAAUACAUUUGACGGAAUAGAUUAGAGGGUUCCUUUUUAAAAAUUAGAUGUAAAUAGUAAAAAUAUUUAUUUUUGUAUAUAAUGAGAAUCGAUCAAGCAAUCGGUCCCAAAGCUGGUAAAUGAGAAAUUUUAAAGUGUCAAAUAUGUCAUAAACGUGAGAAGUCACGCAAGAGGCUCCAAGUCCACGAAUACAAGCGGCACAGAGAGAACAGGUACAGGUACGUGUGUCCUGUCUGCCGGGAGACGUUCGCCCGGCCCGG